rnacentral:rRNA from 1 species
UACGGAGGGGGCUAGCGUUGUUCGGAAUUACUGGGCGUAAAGCGCACGUAGGCGGACUGUUAAGUCGGGGGUGAAAUCCUGGGGCUCAACCUCAGAAUUGCCUCCGAUACUGGCAGUCUCGAGUGCGGGAGAGGUGAGUGGAAUUCCCAGUGUAGAGGUGAAAUUCGUAGAUAUUGGGAAGAACACCAGUGGCGAAGGCGGCUCACUGGCCCGUAACUGACGCUGAGGUGCGAAAGCGUGGGGAGCAAGCAGG